rnacentral:rRNA from 1 species
UACGUAGGGCGCAAGCGUUGUCCGGAAUUAUUGGGCGUAAAGAGCUCGUAGGCGGUUUGUCGCGUCUGCUGUGAAAACCUAAGGCUCAACCUUGGGCUUGCAGUGGGUACGGGCAGACUAGAGUGCGGUAGGGGUGACUGGAAUUCCUGGUGUAGCGGUGGAAUGCGCAGAUAUCAGGAGGAACACCGGUGGCGAAGGCGGGUCUCUGGGCCGAUACUGACGCUGAGGAGCGAAAGCGUGGGGAGCAAACAGG